CCAGUUUUUCUUUCAGUUGCCAUACCCUUGGAAGAUGUCAUGACUGGGAAGGAGGGCUCGGGAGCUGGAGAUAAGGCACCGUUUGCAGGAAGCUACGGCAUGGCCGGAGAGAUAACGUUUACGACUGCCCCAGUGUGCGGAACCGAGUAGCGAGAAGGCUGAGAAGGGGUGCUGUCUGAAUUUCACUCCACACGGGAACCUGCAUCUUUAAUACGAAUUUCAAUACCUAACACAAGCAAUCAAUAAAGCAAUGCCAACCAUCUGUAUCAGAAA